rnacentral:rRNA from 1 species
CGGCAGCGGGAAAGUAGCUUGCUACUUUUGCCGGCGAGCGGCGGACGGGUGAGUAAUGCCUGGGGAUCUGCCCAGUCGAGGGGGAUAACUACUGGAAACGGUAGCUAAUACCGCAUACGCCCUACGGGGGAAAGCAGGGGACCUUCGGGCCUUGCGCGAUUGGAUGAACCCAGGUGGGAUUAGCUAGUUGGUGAGGUAAUGGCUCACCAAGGCGACGAUCCCUAGCUGGUCUGAGAGGAUGAUCAGCCACACUGGAACUGAGACACGGUCCAGACUCCUACGGGAGGCAGCAGUGGGGAAUAUUGCACAAUGGGGGAAACCCUGAUGCAGCCAUGCCGCGUGUGUGAAGAAGGCCUUCGGGUUGUAAAGCACUUUCAGCGAGGAGGAAAGGUUGGUAGCUAAUAACUGCCAGCUGUGACGUUACUCGCAGAAGAAGCACCGGCUAACUCCGUGCCAGCAACCGCGGUAAUACGGAGGGUGCAAGCGUUAAUCGGAAUUACU